AUUGAACGCUGGCGGCAGGCCUAACACAUGCAAGUCGAACGAGUGGCGGACGGGUGAGUAAUGUCUGGGAACCUGCCCGUGGGGGGGGGCUAACUUCUGGAAACGGUAGUUAUUACCGCAUACCAUCGGAUGUGCCCAGAUGGUAUUAGCUAGUAGGUGGGGUAACGGCUCACCUAGGAGACGAUCCCUAGCUGGUCUGAGAGGAUGACCAGCAACACUGGAGCUGAGAUACGGAGUAACCUCCUACGGGAGGCAGCAGUGGGGAAUAUUGCACAAUGGGCGCAAGCCUGAUGCAGCCAUGCCGCGUGUAUGAGGAAGGCCUUCGGGUUGUAAAGUACUUUCAUCUUGGAGGCGUUACCCGCAGAAGAAGCACCGGCUAACUCCGUGCCAGCAGCCGCGGUAAUUC
rnacentral:rRNA from 1 species